ACGCUGGCGGCGUGCUUAACACAUGCAAGUCGAACGGUAAGGCCCUUCGGGGUACACGAGUGGCGAACGGGUGAGUAACACGUGGGUGAUCUGCCCUGCACUUCGGGAUAAGCCUGGGAAACUGGGUCUAAUACCGGAUAGGACCAUGGACUUCACGGUUUGCGGUGGAAAGCUUUUGCGGUGUGGGAUGGGCCCGCGGCCUAUCAGCUUGUUGGUGGGGUAAUGGCCUACCAAGGCGACGACGGGUAGCCGGCCUGAGAGGGUGUCCGGCCACACUGGGACUGAGAUACGGCCCAGACUCCUACGGGAGGCAGCAGUGGGGAAUAUUGCACAAUGGGCGCAAGCCUGAUGCAGCGACGCCGCGUGAGGGAUGACGGCCUUCGGGUUGUAAACCUCUUUCAAUAGGGACGAAGCGCAAGUGACGGUACCUAUAGAAGAAGCACCGGCCAACUACGUG
rnacentral:rRNA from 1 species